GAUAAGGAACGCCUUAGCGCAACACGGUGCCUAAGCGAAUUGGCUGACCUAUACGUUUUGAAUAAGCUGUACAGAAGCAAGAGAUUUGGCAUUUUUUACUACGGAUCCUCUAAAAAUAAAGAGGCUCUACGGACAGGAGGAGCCUCCAGAAUAU
rnacentral:lncRNA from 1 species